UACGGAGGGUGCGAGCGUUGUCCGGAAUCACUGGGCGUAAAGGGCGCGUAGGCGGCAGGCCAAGCGUGCGGUGAAAGUCCGGGGCUCAACCCCGGAUCUGCCGUGCGGACUGGUUUGCUAGAGCACUGUAGAGGCGAGUGGAAUUCCGGGUGUAGCGGUGGAAUGCGUAGAGAUCCGGAAGAACACCGGUGGCGAAGGCAGCACUCUGGGACGGUACUGACGCUGAGACGCGAAAGCGUGGGGAUCAAACAGG
rnacentral:rRNA from 1 species